rnacentral:rRNA from 16 species
UAAGAGAGUUUGAUCCUGGCUCAGGAUGAACGCUGGCGGUAUGCCUAACACAUGCAAGUCGUACGAGAGUUUUUAACUCAAGUGGCGGACGGGUGAGUAACACGUGAGAAUUUGCCUUUAGGAGGGGGAUAACAGAGUGAAAACGCUGCUAAUACCCCAUAUGCUUUCGAGUGAAAUGGAUUUAUUCGCCUAAAGAGAAGCUCGCGGCUGAUUAGCUUGUUGGUAAGGUAAUGGCUUACCAAGGCGACGAUCAGUAUCUGGUUUGAGAGGACGAUCAGACACACUGGAACUGAGACACGGUCCAGACUCCUACGGGAGGCAGCAGUGGGGAAUUUUCCGCAAUGGGCGAAAGCCUGACGGAGCAAUACCGCGUGAGGGAUGACUGCCUAUGGGUUGUAAACCUCUUUUCUCAGGGAGGAAAUCAAUGACGUUACCUGAGGAAUAAGCAUCGGCUAACUCCGUGCCAGCAGCCGCGGUAAGACGGAGGAUGCAAGUGUUAUCCGGAAUCACUGGGCGUAAAGCGUCUGUAGGUGGCUUAACAAGUCAACUGUUAAAUCUUGAAGCUCAACUUCGAAAUCGCAGUCGAAACUGUUAGGCUAGAGUAUAGUAGGGGUAAAGGGAAUUUCCAGUGGAGCGGUGAAAUGCGUAGAGAUUGGAAAGAACACCGAUGGCGAAGGCACUUUACUGGGCUAUUACUGACACUCAGAGACGAAAGCUAGGGUAGCAAAUGGGAUUAGAUACCCCAGUAGUCCUAGCCGUAAACAAUGGAUACUAGAUGUUGGGCAGAUCGACCUGUUCAGUAUCAAAGCUAACGCGUUAAGUAUCCCGCCUGGGAAGUAUGCGCGCAAGCGUGAAACUCAAAGGAAUUGACGGGGGCCCGCACAAGCGGUGGAGCAUGUGGUUUAAUUCGAUCAACGCGAAGAACCUUACCAGG